CUGGAGGUAUCAGAAGUGCGAAUGCUGACAUAAGUAACGAUAAAGCGGGUGAAAAGCCCGCUCGCCGGAAGACCAAGGGUUCCUGUCCAACGUUAAUCGGGGCAGGGUGAGUCGACCCCUAAGGCGAGGCCGAAAGGCGUAGUCGAUGGGAAACGGGUUAAUAUUCCCGUACUUGGUGUUACUGCGAAGGGGGGACGGAGAAGGCU
rnacentral:rRNA from 1 species